rnacentral:tRNA from 1 species
GGCGCAGUAGCUCAGCCGGUUAGAGUGCCAGCCUGUCACGCUGGAUGUCGUGGGUUCGAGUCCCAUCUGCGUCGCCA